rnacentral:misc_RNA from 1 species
GAUGAAGAACGUAGCGAAAUGCGAUAAGUAGUGUGAAUUGCAGAAUUCAGUGAAUCAUCGAAUCUUUGAACGCACAUUGCGCCCUUUGGUAUUCCUUAGGGCAUGCCUGUUCGAGCGUCAUUUAAACCUUCAAGCUAAGCUUGGUGUUGGGUGACUGUCCGCUUCACGGCGGACUCGCCUCAAAAUUAUUGGCGGCCGGUACAUUGGCUUCGAGCGCAGCAGAAACGCGAACUCGGGCCCGUCGUAUUGGCUCCCAGAAGCUAUCUUCACAAUUUUGACCUCGAAUCAGGUAGGGAUACCCGCUGAACUUAAGCAUAUCAUAAGCGGAGGA